UCUAACUCCAUGAUAUUAUAGUAUUCCUAGCAGAUGUUGUCUCUCAGGCGUUGGUUCUUUUCUUUAGCCACUCAUAGCGACCUUUCAUCUUCUCCCCAAAGAACCUUGGUUUUUGUUCCUCCUCUGAUACUCAAGAACACCCUAUCCAAAAACAAUCUUAGUUGCUCCUGUGUGGAACCUAAUAAGAAAAAUGGAUUUUUCUCAGUGGCCAGUGAUCUCCAAUCUUCUUCUUCCUACCACAAAGAUUCUCCCUUUUCAGGUUUGGAGGAUGCUUUGAUGAGUUAUAUCUUUGGAAAGAAGAGGGCAACUGACAUUGCUCACAUGGUGUGGAAACAGGUUGUCCGAAAAGGAGACACUGUCAUUGAUGCUACUUGUGGCAAUGGUUUUGACACCUUAGCAAUGCUUAAUUUAGUUGCUGAUGAUUCUCAUGAUGGUUAUGUAUAUGCAUUAGACAUUCAAGAAGAUGCUUUGAAUAACACUUCCCUCUUGCUGGAAAAGUCACUUAGUUCUAAUGAGAGACAACUUGUCAAGCUCUUCAAUAUCUGCCAUAGUAAAAUGGAGAAUGUUGUUCCAAGGAAUGCCUCAGUUAGGCUUGUUGCAUUCAACUUGGGUUAUCUUCCUGGAGGUGACAAAGAUAUAAUAACAGUAUCAGAAACAACAUCACUGGCAUUGGAAGCUGCCAAGAGAAUUCUGAUGCCAGGUGGUCUCAUCAGUAUAGUGGUGUAUGUGGGGCACCCUGGUGGACGGUGAUAUUUCUGACCCUUUACUUUGUGUCAUUAAGAGAUCUUUGAACCGCCAAAUAUGCUAAUUUUAAGACUGGAUUCUGUGUUGGAAUUUUAUUCUGGUUCCUUUGCCGAACUUUCAAAAUAUACUAUACUGAUGUUAUCAUCAAGUCAGUGUCCAUCAAUAUAUUUUGAAGACAUGAUACACGGCUUAGGAUCAACACAAAAAUCUAAAUUCGCUAAUUUUCCAUCGAUUUUUUGAAUGUUCUGACUUUUUGAAGCUUCACUUGCUUCAGUGAAGACUUCAGUAUUCCAAUUAUUCCUUCCAUAUGUAAUGUGAAGAAUUGGAAGCUGUUGAAUCUUUUGCUACUAAAUUGUGUGUUGAGAAUUGGAUCUGCUGCAAACUCCAGAUGUUAAACCGUCCAUUUGGUCC